rnacentral:rRNA from 1 species
CGCGUAGGCGGCGCGGUAAGCGUGCGGUGAAAGCCCGGGGCUCAACCCCGGGUCGGCCGUGCGGACUGCCGGGCUGGAGCACUGUAGAGGCAGGUGGAAUUCCGGGUGUAGCGGUGGAAUGCGUAGAGAUCCGGAAGAACACCGGUGGCGAAGGCGGCCUGCUGGGCAGUAGCUGACGCUGAAGCGCGACAGCGUGGGGAGCAAACAGGAUUAGAUACCCUGGUAGUCCACGCCGUAAACGAUGGGCACUAGGUGCCUGGGGGAGCGACCCCCCGGGUGCCGGCGCUAACGCAUUAAGUGCCCCGCCUGGGGAGUACGGCCGCAAGGCUGAA